AUUGAACGCUGGCGGAAUACUUUACACAUGCAAGUCGAACGGCAGCACGGACUUCGGUCUGGUGGCGAGUGGCGAACGGGUGAGUAAUGUAUCGGAACGUGCCCAGUCGUGGGGGAUAACGUAGUGAAAAUUACGCUAAUACCGCAUACGAUCUAUGGAUGAAAGCGGGGGAUCGCAAGACCUCGCGCGAUUGGAGCGGCCGAUAUCAGAUUAGGUAGUUGGUGGGGUAAAGGCCCACCAAGCCAACGAUCUGUAGCUGGUCUGAGAGGACGACCAGCCACACGGUAACUGAGACACGGUCCAGACUCCUACGGGAGGCAGCAGUGGGGAAUUUUGGACAAUGGGCGAAAGCCUGAUCCAGCCAUUCCGCGUGCAGGAUGAAGGCCCUCGGGUUGUAAACUGCUUUUGUACAGAACGAAAAGGUUUCUACUAAUACUAGGAGCUCAUGACGGUACUGUAAAAAUAAGCACCGGCUAACUACGUGCCAGCAGCCGCCGCGG
rnacentral:rRNA from 1 species